GCCCUCAUGGGGGUUUUCCAUGAGCACAAGUCUACACGUCCCGGAUUGCUGUCUGUCUGUCUGUUUCUUAAUCAUUCAAAGCUAUAACGUUCUUAUUAUUUCGCGCUUUUUUCAGAAAUUUAACUUUAUGAACAGAGAUGGGAUGGUCCACGACUGCCUUCUAACAUUGUCCCAACUGGGCUGAAUAUAGCUUUAUUUCACCUCUAACAUAGUUGUUCGUAGAUGAGGACAUAGACAGAAAUAUCGUGAAAAACAAAUGCUUGGAGAAGAUGCCCCGUGAAGCUACAGAGAAGGUGGCCAGCCAUGAGCAAGCUGAGGAGGAAAGCCCCCAGGCAGUAGCAAACCUGGUAACAGUUUGGUCUUCUUGUGAGGAAAUGAGUCUUUGCUGAGUAAACCACCUAUCUGUGGUAUUUUGUUUGAGCAGCCCUAGCAACUAACACAACCGGCAAAGAUCGGAUCCAUAGGAAAGAGCAUCUGGCUUGAGCUAGCAGCUCAUCAGGUAGCACUCACCGUCUGUCUGCCUUAGGCUGAUGCUGUAGCUGACUUCACUUUCCCAGAGGUGUGCAAAGAGCAAGGGCAGGAAGGAGAAUAAAUGUCUCUUGGAUAUUUGGAGGCUGGACAGACUUCCAAGCACACUGUUCGGCCAUCUUGAAGAUUGUUCUCUACCUACAAGCUAUCUAACUCAGUGUUGUCUCUCUGAUUUCAGCUAUAACUCGUAAGUCAGAGUUUUCUGAUGAUUUCCUUAACAAAGUCUUUCUU